rnacentral:rRNA from 1 species
GUAGGGUGCAAGCGUUAAUCGGAAUUACUGGGCGUAAAGCGUGCGCAGGCGGCUUUGCAAGACAGAUGUGAAAUCCCCGGGCUUAACCUGGGAACUGCAUUUGUGACUGCAUGGCUAGAGUGCGGCAGGGGGGGAUGGAAUUCCGCGUGUAGCAGUGAAAUGCGUAGAUAUGCGGAGGAACACCGAUGGCGAAGGCAAUCCCCUGGGCCUGCACUGACGCUCAUGCACGAAAGCGUGGGGAGCAAACAGGAUUAGAUACCCUGGUAGUCCACGCCCUAAACGAUGUCAACUGGUUGUUGGACGGCUUGCUGUUCAGUAACGAAGCUAACGCGUAAAGUUGACCGCCUGGGGAGUACGGCCGCAAGGUUG